GGGUUGUGAGGUUAAGCGACUAAGCGUACACGGUGGAUGCCCUGGCAGUCAGAGGCGAUGAAGGGCGUGCUAAUCUGCGAUAAGCGCCGGUAAGGUGAUAUGAACCGUUAUAACCGGCGAUACCCGAAUGGGGAAACCCAGUGUGACUCGUCACACUAUCAUUAACUGAAUCCAUAGGUUAAUGAGGCGAACCGGGGGAACUGAAACAUCUAAGUACCCCGAGGAAAAGAAAUCAACCGAGAUUCCCCCAGUAGCGGCGAGCGAACGGGGAGGAGCCCAGAGCCUGAAUCAGCAUGUGUGUUAGUGGAAGCGUCUGGAAAGGCGCGCGAUACAGGGUGACAGCCCCGUACACAAAAGCGCAUGUGCUGUGAGCUCGAUGAGUAGGGCGGGACACGUGGUAUCCUGUCUGAAUAUGGGGGGACCAUCCUCCAAGGCUAAAUACUCCUGACUGACCGAUAGUGAACCAGUACCGUGAGGGAAAGGCGAAAAGAACCCCGGCGAGGGGAGUGAAAAAGAACCUGAAACCGUGUACGUACAAGCAGUGGGAGCACCCUUUGGGUGUGACUGCGUACCUUUUGUAUAAUGGGUCAGCGACUUAUAUUCUGUAGCAAGGUUAACCGAAUAGGGGAGCCGGAGGGAAACCGAGUCUUAACCGGGCGUUAAGUUGCAGGGUAUAGACCCGAAACCCGGUGAUCUAGCCAUGGGCAGGUUGAAGGUUGGGUAACACUAACUGGAGGACCGAACCGACUAAUGUUGAAAAAUUAGCGGAUGACCUGUGGCUGGGGGUGAAAGGCCAAUCAAACCGGGAGAUAGCUGGUUCUCCCCGAAAGCUAUUUAGGUAGCGCCUCGUGAAUUCAUCUCCGGGGGUAGAGCACUGUUUCGGCUAGGGGGCCAUCCCGGCUUACCAACCCGAUGCAAACUGCGAAUACCGGAGAAUGUUAUCACGGGAGACACACGGCGGGUGCUAACGUCCGUCGUGAAGAGGGAAACAACCCAGACCGCCAGCUAAGGUCCCAAAGUCAUGGUUAAGUGGGAAACGAUGUGGGAAGGCCCAGACAGCCAGGAUGUUGGCUUAGAAGCAGCCAUCAUUUAAAGAAAGCGUAAUAGCUCACUGGUCGAGUCGGCCUGCGCGGAAGAUGUAACGGGGCUAAACCAUGCACCGAAGCUGCGGCAGCGACACUGUGUGUUGUUGGGUAGGGGAGCGUUCUGUAAGCCUGUGAAGGUGUGUCUGUGAGGCGUUGCUGGAGGUAUCAGAAGUGCGAAUGCUGACAUAAGUAACGAUAAAGCGGGUGAAAAGCCCGCUCGCCGGAAGACCAAGGGUUCCUGUCCAACGUUAAUCGGGGCAGGGUGAGUCGACCCCUAAGGCGAGGCCGAAAGGCGUAGUCGAUGGGAAACGGGUUAAUAUUCCCGUACUUGGUGUUACUGCGAAGGGGGGACGGAGAAGGCUAUGUUGGCCGGGCGACGGUUGUCCCGGUUUAAGCGUGUAGGUGUGUGUUCCAGGUAAAUCCGGUUCACUUUAACACUGAGGCGUGACGACGAGGCACUACGGUGCUGAAGCAACAAAUGCCCUGCUUCCAGGAAAAGCCUCUAAGCAUCAGGUAACAUCAAAUCGUACCCCAAACCGACACAGGUGGUCAGGUAGAGAAUACCAAGGCGCUUGAGAGAACUCGGGUGAAGGAACUAGGCAAAAUGGUGCCGUAACUUCGGGAGAAGGCACGCUGACACGUAGGUGAAGUGAUUUACUCAUGGAGCUGAAGUCAGUCGAAGAUACCAGCUGGCUGCAACUGUUUAUUAAAAACACAGCACUGUGCAAACACGAAAGUGGACGUAUACGGUGUGACGCCUGCCCGGUGCCGGAAGGUUAAUUGAUGGGGUCAGCGCAAGCGAAGCUCCUGAUCGAAGCCCCGGUAAACGGCGGCCGUAACUAUAACGGUCCUAAGGUAGCGAAAUUCCUUGUCGGGUAAGUUCCGACCUGCACGAAUGGCGUAAUGAUGGCCAGGCUGUCUCCACCCGAGACUCAGUGAAAUUGAACUCGCUGUGAAGAUGCAGUGUACCCGCGGCAAGACGGAAAGACCCCGUGAACCUUUACUAUAGCUUGACACUGAACAUUGAGCCUUGAUGUGUAGGAUAGGUGGGAGGCUUUGAAGUGUGGACGCCAGUCUGCAUGGAGCCGACCUUGAAAUACCACCCUUUAAUGUUUGAUGUUCUAACGUGGACCCGUUACCCGGGUUGCGGACAGUGUCUGGUGGGUAGUUUGACUGGGGCGGUCUCCUCCUAAAGAGUAACGGAGGAGCACGAAGGUUGGCUAAUCCUGGUCGGACAUCAGGAGGUUAGUGCAAUGGCAUAAGCCAGCUUGACUGCGAGCGUGACGGCGCGAGCAGGUGCGAAAGCAGGUCAUAGUGAUCCGGUGGUUCUGAAUGGAAGGGCCAUCGCUCAACGGAUAAAAGGUACUCCGGGGAUAACAGGCUGAUACCGCCCAAGAGUUCAUAUCGACGGCGGUGUUUGGCACCUCGAUGUCGGCUCAUCACAUCCUGGGGCUGAAGUAGGUCCCAAGGGUAUGGCUGUUCGCCAUUUAAAGUGGUACGCGAGCUGGGUUUAGAACGUCGUGAGACAGUUCGGUCCCUAUCUGCCGUGGGCGCUGGAGAACUGAGGGGGGCUGCUCCUAGUACGAGAGGACCGGAGUGGACGCAUCACUGGUGUUCGGGUUGUCAUGCCAAUGGCACUGCCCGGUAGCUAAAUGCGGAAGAGAUAAGUGCUGAAAGCAUCUAAGCACGAAACUUGCCCCGAGAUGAGUUCUCCCUGAGACUUAAAGUCUCCUGAAGGAACGUUGAAGACGACGACGUUGAUAGGCCGGGUGUGUAAGCGCAGCGAUGCGUUGAGCUAACCGGUACUAAUGAACCGUGAGGCUUAACCUUACAACGCCGAAG
rnacentral:rRNA from 1 species